UCUUCCAUCUUGGAAAAUUAUUAGGUGUCUUACAAAUGAGUGUCUUAGAAAUGAGUGAUUAAAACACUUCUCCCAUCAGGGAAAGGUAUCUAAAUAAUUUGAUUGUAAGUAUAAGGAAGAUCUGAUUAAAGAUUUUUCUUAUGUAAUAUUUUCACGAAAUAAAGAGUUUUGUUUAUAUAUCUUCUAUCCAAUUCAUAUGUUAGCCCCAAGUGAAGGUUGUGAUAUUCUGCCUUAUCGGAGGAAAGACAAUAGAAUAGCGCCAGAAUGAGUGUCAUCAUAGGCUAAACAAUCUUUCAUUGCUGAUGAAGGAAAAGUAUAGUGAUACUAAUACAGCUAGCAAAAGAAGAAGUCGAAAGGUGCUGAUCCUUGUACGGGCACUUCAUAUGGUGGUAGACUUCAUGCGGUGGAGUUGGUGACACUUCUAGGUACUGGCUCACUCUAGGCUUUUUCAGAGCCGACUUCAGACCUCCUCUAUCUAUUAAUUGUCUUUACUCCUAUUUCAGAGACAGACUAUGUAUUUUUAAUUUUGAAUACUCUAUUAGAUGCUCUUAUACUAUGACUUCAGAUUUUGAGAUCGAAUUUAUGGAUUUAAUUCUUU